rnacentral:rRNA from 1 species
GGGUUGUGAGGUUAAGCGAAUAAGCGUACACGGUGGAUGCCUAGGCAAUCAGAGGCGAUGAAGGACGUGCUAAUCUGCGAAAAGCGUCGGUAAGGUGAUAUGAACCGUUAUACCCGACGAUAUCCGAAUGGGGAAACCCAGUAUCCAAUGGAUACUAUCAUUAACUGAAUCCAUAGGUUAAUGAGGCGAACCGGGAGAACUGAAACAUCUCAGUACCCCGAGGAAAAGAAAUCAACCGAGAUUCCCCUAGUAGCGGCGAGCGAACGGGGAGCAGCCCAGAGUCUUAAUCAAUAGCAGUGUCAGGAGAACGGUCUGGAAAGUCCGGCAGUAAAGGGUGAUAGCCCCGUAUCUGAAGAUGCUGUUAUUGUGAACUCGACGAGUAGGGCGGGACACGUGUUAUCCUGUCUGAAUAUGGGGGGACCAUCCUCCAAGGCUAAAUACUCCUGAUUGACCGAUAGUGAACCAGUACCGUGAGGGAAAGGCGAAAAGAACCCCGGCGAGGGGAGUGAAAAAGAACCUGAAACCGUGUACGUACAAGCAGUAGGAGCCUCUUUAUGGGGUGACUGCGUACCUUUUGUAUAAUGGGUCAGCGACUUAUAUUCUGUAGCAAGGUUAACCGUAUAGGGGAGCCGUAGGGAAACCGAGUCUUAACUGGGCGAAUGAGUUGCAGGGUAUAGACCCGAAACCCGGUGAUCUAUCCAUGGGCAGGUUGAAGGUUGGGUAACACUAACUGGAGGACCGAACCGACUAAUGUUGAAAAAUUAGCGGAUGACUUGUGGAUGGGGGUGAAAGGCCAAUCAAACCGGGAGAUAGCUGGUUCUCCCCGAAAGCUAUUUAGGUAGCGCCUCGUGAACUCAUCUUCGGGGGUAGAGCACUGUUUCGACUAGGGGGUCAUCCCGACUUACCAACUCGAUGCAAACUGCGAAUACCGAAGAAUGUUAUCACGGGAGACACACGGCGGGUGCUAACGUCCGUCGUGAAGAGGGAAACAACCCAGACCGCCAGCUAAGGUCCCAAAGUCAUGGUUAAGUGGGAAACGAAGUGGGAAGGCUCAGACAGCCAGGAUGUUGGCUUAGAAGCAGCCAUCAUUUAAAGAAAGCGUAAUAGCUCACUGGUCGAGUCGGCCCGCGCGGAAGAUGUAACGGGGCUAAACCAUGCACCGAAGCUGCGGCAGCGACACAAAGUGUUGUUGGGUAGGGGAGCGUUCUGUAAGCCUGCGAAGGUGUACUGUGAGGUAUGCUGGAGGUAUCAGAAGUGCGAAUGCUGACAUAAGUAACGAUAAUGCGGGUGAAAAACCCGCACGCCGGAAGACCAAGGGUUCCUGUCCAACGUUAAUCGGGGCAGGGUGAGUCGACCCCUAAGGCGAGGCUGAAAAGCGUAGUCGAUGGGAAACGGGUUAAUAUUCCCGUACUGGUGGUAACUGCGAUGGGGGAACGGAGAAGGCUAGGUUGUCCGGGCGACGGUCGUCCCGGUUCAAGCAGGUAGGCAGAGUGAUUAGGCAAAUCCGGUCACUUAAUGCUGAGAUGUGAUGACGAACCACCAAGGUGGUGAAGCAAUUGAUGCCCCGCUUCCAGGAAAAGCCUCUAAGCUUCAGGUUACCAACAAUCGUACCCCAAACCGACACAGGUGGUCAGGUAGAGAAUACUCAGGCGCUUGAGAGAACUCGGGUGAAGGAACUAGGCAAAAUGGUGCCGUAACUUCGGGAGAAGGCACGCUGGCGGUAGGUAAAGUCCCUCGCGGACGGCGCUGAAGCCAGUCGAAGAUACCAGCUGGCUGCAACUGUUUAUUAAAAACACAGCACUGUGCAAACACGAAAGUGGACGUAUACGGUGUGACGCCUGCCCGGUGCUGGAAGGUUAAUUGAUGGGGUCAGCCGUAAGGCGAAGCUCCUGAUCGAAGCCCCAGUAAACGGCGGCCGUAACUAUAACGGUCCUAAGGUAGCGAAAUUCCUUGUCGGGUAAGUUCCGACCUGCACGAAUGGCGUAAUGAUGGCCAGGCUGUCUCCACCCGAGACUCAGUGAAAUUGAACUCGCUGUGAAGAUGCAGUGUACCCGCGGCAAGACGGAAAGACCCCGUGAACCUUUACUAUAGCUUGACACUGAACAUUGAGCCUUGAUGUGUAGGAUAGGUGGGAGGCUUUGAAGUGUGGACGCCAGUCUGCAUGGAGCCAACCUUGAAAUACCACCCUUUAACGUUUGAUGUUCUAACCUAGGCCCAUAAACUGGGUCGGGGACCGUGUCUGGUGGGUAGUUUGACUGGGGCGGUCUCCUCCUAAAGAGUAACGGAGGAGCACGAAGGUUGGCUAAGCAUGGUCGGACAUCAUGCGGUUAGUGCAAAGGCAUAAGCCAGCUUGACUGCGAGAGUGACGGCUCGAGCAGGUACGAAAGUAGGUCUUAGUGAUCCGGUGGUUCUGAAUGGAAGGGCCAUCGCUCAACGGAUAAAAGGUACUCCGGGGAUAACAGGCUGAUACCGCCCAAGAGUUCAUAUCGACGGCGGUGUUUGGCACCUCGAUGUCGGCUCAUCACAUCCUGGGGCUGAAGUAGGUCCCAAGGGUAUGGCUGUUCGCCAUUUAAAGUGGUACGCGAGCUGGGUUUAGAACGUCGUGAGACAGUUCGGUCCCUAUCUGCCGUGGGCGUUGGAAGAUUGAGAGGGGUUGCUCCUAGUACGAGAGGACCGGAGUGAACGCACCACUGGUGUUCGGGUUGUCAUGCCAAUGGCAUUGCCCGGUAGCUAAGUGCGGAAGAGAUAACCGCUGAAAGCAUCUAAGCGGGAAACUUGCCUCGAGAUGAGUCUUCCCUGUCGCUUUAAGCGACCUAAAGGAACGUUUAAGACUAAGACGUUGAUAGGCUGGGUGUGUAAGCGUAGCGAUACGUUGAGCUAACCAGUACUAAUGAACCGUGAGGCUUAACCUGACAACACCGAAGGUGUUU